UGAUAUACCAGACCGAAGGUGGAUUUGC
rnacentral:piRNA from 1 species